GUGCUCACUUUGGUAGCACUUAUACUAAACUGGAACAUUACACAGAAGAUUAGCAUGGCC
ensembl:snRNA U6 U6 spliceosomal RNA